rnacentral:rRNA from 1 species
CCCUUAGAUGUCCUGGGCCGCACGCGCGUUACACUGAUGCAUUCAACGAGCUUAUAACCUUGGCCGAGAGGCCUGGGCAAUCUUGUUAACGUGCAUCGUGAUAGGGAUAGAUUAUUGAAAUUAUUAAUCUUGAACGAGGAAUUCCUAGUAAACGCAGAUCAUCAAUCUGCAUUGAUUACGUCCCUGCCCUUUGUACACAACGCCCGUCGCACCUACCGAUUGGAUGGUCCGGUGAAGCCUCGGGAUUGUGGUUCUUGCCGCUUUAUUGUGGCGUGACCGCGAGAACUUGUCUAAACCUUAUCAUCUAGAGGAAGGUGAAGUCGUAACA